rnacentral:rRNA from 1 species
CCUACGGGAGGCAGCAGUGGGGAAUAUUGCACAAUGGGCGAAAGCCUGAUGCAGCGACGCCGCGUGAGGGAUGACGGCCUUCGGGUUGUAAACCUCUUUCAGCAGGGAAGAAGCGAAAGUGACGGUACCUGCAGAAGAAGCGCCGGCUAACUACGUGCCAGCAGCCGCGGUAAUACGUAGGGCGCAAGCGUUGUCCGGAAUUAUUGGGCGUAAAGAGCUCGUAGGCGGCUUGUCGCGUCGGUUGUGAAAGCCCGGGGCUUAACCCCGGGUCUGCAGUCGAUACGGGCAGGCUAGAGUGUGGUAGGGGAGAUCGGAAUUCCUGGUGUAGCGGUGAAAUGCGCAGAUAUCAGGAGGAACACCGGUGGCGAAGGCGGAUCUCUGGGCCAUUACUGACGCUGAGGAGCGAAAGCGUGGGGAGCGAACAGGAUUAGAUACCCUGGUAGUCCACGCCGUAAACGGUGGGAACUAGGUGUUGGCGACAUUCCACGUCGUCGGUGCCGCAGCUAACGCAUUAAGUUCCCCGCCUGGGGAGUACGGCCGCAAGGCUAAAACUCAAAGGAAUUGACGG